rnacentral:lncRNA from 1 species
CAUGUAUUGGUUGUUAUAAAAAUUCUAACAUUUAUCACAUCUCACACCACUGUAUUUCAGCUGGAUUCAAAGAAAAGCCUUUUGUGGAAGAACUGAAGGUGGCAGGUCUCAAGCUCAUUUCCAUUGAACAACUGAAAUGUUGAUGUACUCUGCUGCAGUGUGACUGUAUAUCCUGAAUUUAUAUUCAGAUCUCUGACAGAAGACAUUUGGUGUAUCCAGUCACAUGCUGUGGCACCUGUACUGGCUCAUAUCAAGAGUUCACCAACGGUGCCCAUUUAUGAAGGAGCUGAUGCCUUUCCAGAAGAAAUUAAUCACAUGGAGCCAUGACUCUAAAUCCAUGCAUAGAGAUCUGCAAGAAAACAGUGUGCAGAUGAUUGCUUUUCUAAUACUAUUACACCUUCCAACUCUUUUCAGCUAAGGGGAGUUUCUGAACUGGCUGUUAUCCUGCAUAUUUUAGAAUUUUUUGAGAAUUUCAGUGUGUCAUGCGCUUGUCUAGUGAGAUCUUCAACCAAUGUCAAUUUUGGCUGUACACAGCAGUUUUUUACAGGAAGGCCCCCAGUGAUAACACACAUUCUGUGUAAAACCACUGCUUUUGUUGUUUAUAUGAAAAUUACUUCUACUCUCAUUAUUUGGCAAUCAGUAGUUCUUGUCUUAAAAAGAAUGAUGAAAAUUUGAGUCCUACCUAUGCCUUCCAUGAUACUCAUAAUUUUAUAGAAGAUCUUUUGCUUUGAGUACAAAAAAAUCUUCACCUACUCCGCUGCUUCCUGUAGAAAAGCCUUCAAUAUCUUUGGACCCUUGUUAUCUUUUUCUCAGUUCUUUCCUAUUCCCUUUUAGAAUAAGGAGAAAAAGCUCAACACACAAUGUUCCAGUGGCUUGCAAAACAGACUUGAGCUAUCUGUUCUGUCUUUGUGACCUGCAGUGAAAGAAAAAGAUUAUCUCACAUGGGAACUAUUUUUUGUCUCAAUUUUCUUGCUUUUUCCUACUUUUUACUUUGCACCAUGGCCAAAGCUGCCAUAGAAGCAGUGUCAGAUCUCUAAAGACAGUGGGGACAAGCCCUGAGAUACAAGUGGAAGUGUAAAACCCAUAUGUGCAAACUACAUCAGUUAUGACUUCACCUUGAGAACUACAAUACUACAGGGAAAAAAAAAAAACAACAAAAAACCACACUGAAAAUUCUCUGGAUUUUACAUAUGGAAAUUAAAUGGAUGCUACUGCUAUCAUCAAAAUGAAGUGCAAGUGGACAGAAUACUUGUGAAGACUAAAGGGAAAAACUCACUGGGGGUGAGUUGUGAGUUUAUAGUCUGACAUUAAAGUUUCUUGAGCAUUCUUCAUAAGGUAAAGAGCAAUAAAAUCUCAGAGGCACCUACA